rnacentral:tRNA from 1 species
GAGGGGUGGCUGAGCGGUCAAAAGCAGCGGACUGUAAAUCCGCCGGGUUAUCCCUACGCAGGUUCGAAUCCUGCCCCCUCC